rnacentral:rRNA from 1 species
UGGGGAAUAUUGGGCAAUGGANGAAACUCUGACCCAGCCACGCCGCGUGAGGGAUGAAGGCCUUCGGGUUGUAAACCUCUUUNAUUAGGGAAGAAANGAAAGUGACGGUNCCUACAUAAAAAGCACCGGCUAACUAUGUG